rnacentral:rRNA from 1 species
AUGUCGCGCAUCCUGAUGCAGCCAUGCCGCGUGUGAGAAGAAGGCCUUCGGGUUGUAAAGUACUUUAGAGGGGAGGAAGGGGAUAAGGUUAAUAACCUUGUCGAUUGACGUUACCCGCAGAAGAAGCACCGGCUAACUCCGUGCCAGCAGCCGCGGUAAUACGGAGGGUGCAAGCGUUAAUCGGAAUUACUGGGCGUAAAGCGCACGUUGGCGGUCUGUCAAGUCGGAUGUGAAAUCCCCAGGCUCACCCUGGGAACUGCCUUCGAAACCUGGGAUGCUAAAGUCCUGUAUAGGGCGCAUCGAAAUUCCAUGUGCAUUUGUGAAUUGCAUAAACUGCUGUAGGA